rnacentral:lncRNA from 1 species
GGGUGAAUCAGGUGCUAACCCCGGAGCCUGGUCUUGCGGCUCCCCUGCCUGGGUUUUCUGAGUGCGACCGAUUUAGGCAGGGUGGGGGGAUUCCUGCGGCCCUGCCCCACCCACGAAGACCGAGAAGGCUCGCCGGUGGAGAAAGGAAGCAAGUCAUCAAGCGGAGCCCACACACAGCAGGAAGCUGGGGCAGGAGGCAAGAUAAAGCUGUACCUCCUGGAGGGCCAAGUGUCUGCAUAACUGUCAUUCUUCUCCUGUGCUUGAAGAUCACAUGCAUCGCCAAGCUCGAGAUGAGAACAUGAGAUGACUCAGUGCAAAUCUUUGCCACAACUGGAACCAAGAGCACGUGUGGGACUCUGAGGAGGGCCUUGUCCUCCCCCUGUGCCUGAGUCACGAUCCUCAUGAAUGGACCACUCACCAUGCUGGACGUGGGAGAGUGUGGGUUUCUGUGGGGGAGUGUGUUCUGUAAAAUGGAAAUAUAAGAGAGCCAAACUCAGAAUCAUUUGAAGCCCGGUGAAAAGGAAUCUUAGGUUUUGUGUUUCCUGCCUUGGUAGAAAGAGAUCAGUCAGAGAAAAAAAGUUCAUAUCAAGAAUUUUUUUUUCCUUCAAAACCUGAAACAAACCAACCAUAAGUAAAACAGAGAAUUUCAAGCUUCAACUCAACUUACUUGUUUACUUCCUGUUCAUUCCAGAUUGUCAGGAAAAACAGAUCGUCAAAGUGGUACUCCAUGGUGUAUGUGUACUGAACUGCGUACAAGCCUAUGUCCUUGUGUUUUCAAGCAAAAACCUUUUCAUUUAAGCCUUUAGCCUCCCAGGCCUCAAGAUUUGAAAAUGAGGAAAUACUGAUACAGCUACAAACUAGUUGAAACAGUCUCCAUUAUGCUAGGACUUGCCUUGACCCACUAACUUACUCAAACUAGCCUUUCACAAAUGAUUUCCUCCUUGCUUAAUUGCUUUCUUUUACUAAUGAUUACUUUCUAGUUAAGGUUAUAUUGUAUGCCUAGUGUUUUCUUUUCCUUUGAGACACUCCCUAAGUCCCCAUUCCUUCCAUGAGCCAUCUUCUCUGCAGAGAGAAGGUCAAGGCGAGAUAACCCCAAAGACCACCAGAAACCAUCACUGGACACAUGACUUGAGCCUUGAUGAUUCUGAGGUGGUCUUUGGAGGGAGAAGAAUACAGGCACCUUGAUCCCUAUCAACAGCCCUUUUGUCUUCCAAGCUAAACCUAUAAAAAUCCCUUGCUAUCCCCUCUCAAGAGAGGACACUGUUUUUAGGGCAUUAGCCUGCUGUGGCCUCCUUUGCCUGGCAAAGCAAUAAAGUUGUCCUCUCUACUUCACCCCAAACUCUUGCCUCCAAGUCUUAUUUGAUGCUGGUGUACAGAGGCUGGUUUUCAGCUACAGUAGUACCACAUCUUCUUGAUCCAUUCAGUGGAACACUACUCAGCCAUAAAUAAGAAUGAAAUAAAGCCAUUUGCAGCAACAUGGAUGCAACUAGAUAUUCUCAUACUAAAUGAAGUAAGUUAGAAAGACAAAUAUUAUAUGAUAUCACUUCUGUGUGGAAUCUAAAAUAUGGCACAAAUGAACUUAUCUGCAGAACAGAAACAGAUUCACAGACAUACAGAAUAGACUUGUGGCUGCCAAGGGGAAGGGGGAAGGGAGUGGGAUGGACGGGAAGUUUGGGCUUAGUAGAUGCAACUUUUGCCUUUAGAAUGGAUAAGCAAUGAGGUUCUGCUCUAUAGCACAGGGAACUAUAUCCAAUCUCCUGGGAUAGAACAUGACGGAGGAUAAUGUGAGAAAAAGAAUACAUAUGUGCAUGGCUGGGUAACUUUGCUGUACAGCAGAAAUUGGCACAACAUUGUAAAUCAACUGUACUUUAAUAAAACAAUUUUUAAGAA